rnacentral:rRNA from 1 species
CAGGAGGAACGCGGGCGGUAUGCUUAACACAUGCAAGUGGAAAGAGACAAAAGAGAAUUGCUUGCACGGAUCUUUUAGAAAGUGGCGAACGGGGGAGUAACGCGGGGGUAACCUCCCCUAUGGAAAGGGAUAGCCUCGGGAAACGGGGGGUAAUACCUUAUAAGAUAUAUUUGUCGCCUGGCAGAAGUAUUAAAAGCUCUGCGGCCAUAGGAGGGGCCCGCGUCCCAUAAGCUAGUGGGUGAGAUAACAGCUCACCAAGGGGACGAGGGGUAACCGCUCUGAGAGGGGGAACGGCCCCACUGGAAUUGAGACACGGUCCAGAUUCUUACGGGAGGCACCAGUGGGGAAUAUUGCCCAAUGGGGGAAACCCUGACGCAGCAAUACCGCGUGAGUGAAGAAGGUUUUCGGAUCUUAAAAUUCUGUUAUGCG